rnacentral:rRNA from 1 species
GAUGAACGCUAGCUACAGGCUUAACACAUGCAAGUCGAGGGGAAACGGCAUUGAGUGCUUGCACUCUUUGGACGUCGACCGGCGCACGGGUGAGUAACGCGUAUCCAACCUUCCCAUUACUGUGGGAUAACCUGCCGAAAGGCAGACUAAUACCGCAUAGUCUUCGAUGACGGCAUCAGAUUUGAAGUAAAGAUUUAUCGGUAAUGGAUGGGGAUGCGUCUGAUUAGCUUGUGGCGGGGUAACGGCCCACCAAGGCGACGAUCAGUAGGGGUUCUGAGAGGAAGGUCCCCCACAUUGGAACUGAGACACGGUCCAAACUCCUACGGGAGGCAGCAGUGAGGAAUAUUGGUCAAUGGACGGAAGUCUGAACCAGCCAAGUAGCGUGCAGGAUGACGGCCCUAUGGGUUGUAAACUGCUUUUGUAUGGGGAUAAAGUUAGGGACGUGUCCCUAUUUGCAGGUACCAUACGAAUAAGGACCGGCUAAUUCCGUGCCAGCAGCCGCGGUAAUACGGAAGGUCCAGGCGUUAUCCGGAUUUAUUGGGUUUAAAGGGAGCGUAGGCUGGAGAUUAAGUGUGUUGUGAAAUGUAGACGCUCAACGUCUGAAUUGCAGCGCAUACUGGUUUCCUUGAGUACGCACAACGUUGGCGGAAUUCGUCGUGUAGCGGUGAAAUGCUUAGAUAUGACGAAGAACUCCGAUUGCGAAGGCAGCUGACGGGAGCGCAACUGACGCUUAAGCUCGAAGGUGCGGGUAUCAAACAGG